GGGUUAGUAGGUUGGUCAUGCCUCUGGUAUGUACUGGUCUCACUGAUUCCUCCUUCCUGAUGAGCCGUAAUGCCAUUAAUUUGGUGUUGCGGGGAAUUUGGACUGUUACUUUGAAAAAAUUAGAGUGUUCAAAGCAAGCUAACGCUUGAAUACAUUAGCAUGGAAUAAUGAAAUAGGACCUCGGUUCUAUUUUGUUGGAUUUCGGAACUUGAGGUA
rnacentral:rRNA from 1 species